AAAAUAAAGUAAAAUAAAAUGAUCCAGUUGGUGCUUAAUUACGGGAUUGCCAGCCAGACCAUUUCUCUUCUGGUAAACAAUUUGGAGAGCUCCAGCUAGCUUGAUCUUGUCUUUUUAGCUUUGCGUAACAUGCUUGCCCGCCAGUGAAAGCUUUUAUCCGUUUGCCAAAAAGUUACACGGCUGUGCGCUAUCGCAUUUCCAGCUCCAUGGCAUUGGGAUAUGCCUACUAG
rnacentral:misc_RNA from 1 species